UUCGGGGCUCCUUGGUGAUUCAUGAUAACUUAACGAAUCGCAUGGCCUUGCGCCGGGCGAUGGUUCAUUCAAAUUUCUGCCCUAUCAACUUUCGAUGGUAGGAUAGUGGCCUACCAUGGUAUCAACGGGUAACGGGGAAUUAGGGUUCUAUUCCGGAGAGGGAGCCUGAGAAACGGCUACCACAUCCAAGGAAGGCAGCAGGCGCGCAAAUUACCCAAUCCCGACACGGGGAGGUAGUGACAAUAAAUACUGAUACAGGGCUCUUUUGGGUCUUGUAAUUGGAAUGAGUACAAUUUAAAUACCUUAACGAGGAACAAUUGGAGGGCAAGUCUGGUGCCAGCAGCCGCGGUAAUUCCAGCUCCAAUAGCGUAUAUUAAAGUUGUUGCAGUUAAAAAGCUCGUAGUUGAACCUUGGGCCUGGCUGGCCGGUCCGCCUCACCGCGUGUACUGGUCCGGCCGGGCCUUUCCUUCUGGGGAACCGCAUGCCCUUCACUGGGUGUGCUGGGGAACCAGGACUUUUACUUUGAAAAAAUUAGAGUGUUCAAAGCAGGCCUUUGCUCGAAUACAUUAGCAUGGAAUAAUAGAAUAGGACGUGCGGUCCUAUUUUGUUGGUUUCUAGGACCGCCGUAAUGAUUAAUAGGGAUAGUCGGGGGCGUCAGUAUUCAAUUGUCAGAGGUGAAAUUCUUGGAUUUAUUGAAGACUAACUACUGCGAAAGCAUUCGCCAAGGAUGUUUUCAUUAAUCAGUGAACGAAAGUUAGGGGAUCGAAGACGAUCAGAUACCGUCGUAGUCUUAACCGUAAACUAUGCCGACUAGGGAUCGGACGAUGUUAUUAUUUUGACUCGUUCGGCACCUUACGAGAAAUCAAAGUC
rnacentral:rRNA from 1 species